AGAACGAACGCUGGCGGCAUGCCUAACACAUGCAAGUCGAACGAGACCUUCGGGUCUAGUGGCGCACGGGUGCGUAACGCGUGGGAAUCUGCCCUUAGGUACGGAAUAACAGUGAGAAAUUACUGCUAAUACCGUAUGAUGUCUUCGGACCAAAGAUUUAUCGCCUAGGGAUGAGCCCGCGUAGGAUUAGCUAGUUGGUGGGGUAAAGGCCUACCAAGGCGACGAUCCUUAGCUGGUCUGAGAGGAUGAUCAGCCACACUGGGACUGAGACACGGCCCAGACUCCUACGGGAGGCAGCAGUGGGGAAUAUUGGACAAUGGGCGAAAGCCUGAUCCAGCAAUGCCGCGUGAGUGAAGAAGGCCUUCGGGUUGUAAAGCUCUUUUACCCGGGAAGAUAAUGACUGUACCGGGAGAAUAAGCCCGGCUAACUCCGCGCCAGCAGCCGC
rnacentral:rRNA from 1 species